ensembl:lncRNA
AUUGCAGCUUUCUUGGCACUGAGACUUUUUUUCCAGAACUUUGUUGAUGCUAAUAAGGCUAAUAUUAUUCGUGGCUGUGUUAGGCAAAAUAUCACCAGUAGCACUGACAGGUGACUUUCUGGUUGCCCAGAAAGAUGGAUGCUCUUUGGGUCCUCUGCGGCUGAGGAGGAAACAGUUUUCCUUCUGUUCUUUAUCAUAUCAUUCACAGUCACUAUAGAUUGCAACUCGGCUAUGGUCUGUGUUCGUUGCCUCUGUUCCUGCCACUGGGUACCACUGACAGGAUGUGCUCCUUCCUCUUUGCACAAAUACUCGAGGAAACUACAGCUGGAGCCUGAGUCAGCUUUCAUAGGCACAAGUUCUCCUUUGACAGAAUGUGACUUCUUCAUGUUUACUAAGUGUAUUAAGUUGAAAGGUCCUGAAUGUAUAUUACUUCCUGAAGCAUAGCCUGCCUUGCUAAACUAGCACUCAGUAUCUCUGUCACAACUCACUUUGAUACCCGUCAGCACUGGCAGUUUCUAAUUGUAGCUUUUUAACUUCUUCUGCAUAGAAUUUAAAACUUGCCUUCCAACACAGAUUUUUUUCUUCUGAAACGUGUGCUGUCCAAGAGCUCACAGUGAUUUCUACAGCUUUGUGUUAUGCUGCCAUAACUGGGUUGACACAGUGCCUUCAUGCAGUUGUGAUCCCUGGUAAAGUUUCGUUCUCACUCUUUUCAUCCAAAUUGUUUAUUUUUGGGAAUUUCCUGCUCAAGUGAUCAAGAGCUUUGAUAUUCUCAAAAUAGCGUUGUUUUUUUUCCCCCCACUUGUUUAAACUGCACAUGGUAAUGGGAAGAGAGCAUGGCCAAAGCUAGGAAAAAUAUUUUUAGCAAAAUGAAAUUAGUUGAAGAGUUGUUCUGUAAUUUUUUAGGGGGAGUGUUUUGUCUUCCAUCCUUUCCUUGGGGCAGGAUCAGGGCCAGCAUCUAUUGCAAAUGCAGCCACUUCACAGAGCACCAUGGUUGGGCACCUGCUUCCUUUCAUCCCAGAAAAGAAGUUCCAGCUUUGAUCCUGAAGAGACUCAUGUUGGUUCAGCUAUGGGAAUACGGGUCUGUGUUUGCUUUAUGGAAGGGUGUUUGUUUUAAUGUUCCCUUUCAAAGUCAGGAAAACAAAUCCAAAUGAAAGAGCAGAGAAAGAGGCUUGCUUGGAUUAUUGUGCGUGCAUUUGUGUGACUGCACUUAGCAUUCUGCUGCUUUUACUCUUUGCUGUUAAAUUCAUGUGAUGACCUUUAGAUGUUGAAUAUUUCUAUAUUCUGCUUUUGCUCAGGUAUUCACUUAGUCUGCACAGGUUGUGGGGGGGGUGUUGGUUCCAAGGUUCUGCCCUGCUUGCCAUGCAGGAAGGAGGAUGAGGCUCUGAAAAAGAUAGUGCUUCAUUAUGAAUGGUGGAUUGGGAAGAAAGCUUUGGCACCAAGCAAAGUAUUUUUAAUAUCAGGUGCAGUACAAGGAUGAUUUUUCUAACUUUCUCAGUUUCUGGGGCCACAGAUAUCUUGAUCCUUUAUUUCUCUCUGUAUUUGCUGUUGAUAAUUAUACACAGUUUAUAUCAGCAUACGUCUUGCUCUCAAUGUAUCCAAGAAAAUCAAAAAGCUGCUUAUAUAGUCAAGUAAGUAUGCAUAUAUUUGUGAAAAUGAGGUUUAAAUUAUCACCUUAAGAUUUUUAUUGUGUGUUUAAAAGAAAUUUACUGUAGAAUUAUUUAUGAUUAACCCAGUUAUGCUGGAUUGGGCUAUGACUGCCUCUAUAUACCUGCGAAGCUGCUCUGCCGUUCCUCUACUUGCGCAUCAGUAUGAGUCCCCUAGAUGGCAGGAGAGGAUCGGUAUAACCACGCCAAACCGUUGCUAGUUCGGUGCGUUUCAGUGUGGGCAUGAAGGAUUUUGACGGUUCCUUGUCAGAACGGAGUUGUUGUGUAACAGCUCAGUCGUGGGAACCGUGCUUAGCUACAGAGGAGAGGAAAGUUGAAUCACUUCAGUUGCGAAGCUUUCCGUGAGUUCUGAAGGGUUUUGAAUCUCAGUUCUGUGGCUUAAAGCCAUUUUGUCUCUCAUCUACUGUUUAAAAACACUGCAUUCUUGACAUUUUCUUGUGCUUCCAUCUGAGAAUGAAGACAUU